AAGAAGAUAGAAAUUAAAAACUUAAAACUUAUCGUAAACAAUAACAGAAAGAAAGUUAUUAUCAUGCAUUAUCGAUUAUGACUAUUGAUAUUUAUAUUAAUAACACUUUUGUUAAGAAAAUGGAACGGAAAGGAAAACUGAAUACGAGAAGACGAAUUUCACGAUUGACGAGAUACGAAAGAGAAAGGAAAAGUGGAAGAAUUCAUUUGAUUGGCUUAAAACUUAAAAUGGUUUCGAAUCGCUCGAAACAGAGAAUCUAAAGAAGCCGAAGCACGUGACAGAACAACGUGAUGGCACGAUAGGUAAGUACUAGUAAAAUUACCGUGAUUAAGUAAUUAUCUUCCGAGCAACCGACAUUUCAAGACGAUAAGGAGGGAAAGCAGAGGAAUACGUAUGCUACAGGGGUUUUGCGAUACACUUCUAUACGCUAUUGUUUAUUGUCCAUGUUGGAAAGAUAAACCUUUCACUUGCAUUCUCAUCUUGAACGAAGAGGAUUCUCUGAUCGCGAGUAGAGAAGACAAUGCCCUCUACGCUAUAAUCGGUUAUGAAAACGAAAUCACAAGAAAAUAGCUGUGCUUCUAUAAUAUAUAUACACAAGUGUCGAAUUAUUACGAACGUAACAUGAACUAGUGAAAAGUGAAUGUCGAAAGAAACGAAUAUGCUAGUCAUGAAAAGAGAGAAAGAAAAAAAUAGAAGUAAGAAGAGAGAUAAAGAAAAAAGAGAGAGGAAAAUGCAAUCUGUUCUAUUAGUUUAUAUUGUAUCGAGCAGUAGAGGGAAUACGGGAACAUCCUGUCCUGAAAAUUCAUGUCCCGGACGGAAGUUUGAGGGAGACCACGAAUGAGAUACGACGUCGACCAAGCUGUGUGAAUUGCUCACGCGACACGCGAUAAUUCGAACAGAGAAUCACCAGAAUGGCAAUUAAUCGGCUCAGCAAUCAUUCGUUAGCGGUAAUCUUGCAUAAUAGAUAUAUGUAUAUUAGUGUUAGUAAAAAAUUGUUACAAACAUUCACAAAAUAAAACAGAAUCUAAUGUAUGAUUUAGAAUGAAAAAGAACAUAGUUAAACAUAGUUCGUUACGAAUGUAGAAAAAAAUGUAGAAAAUAAACAAUAUCUCUCAUUAUAA